CGGCAAUACUUCAGAGAUCCGUGAUGCCUUCAGGGGAAUUGUGCUUGCCCCCUGGAGUGUUUUGUGUGGAAGUAGACCUAAAAACCAGUUGUGCCGUGUUUCAUUUUGAUUUAGAACCACGCUUUUAAAAAAUAACAGAAAUAACGGGUUUUCACUGUGAAGUCCAUUUUCAUAUUUAUCUCGUUACAAGGUUAUAUAACCCUUUGGUGUGGGGUAGGCAGGAACACAGAUGGUACGGUAACCAUAGCAACGCCACUUAGGCUUCUUUUCUGCUUGUCAGCUCUUUUCAGCAUCAUGUUCCUUCUAAAGCAGAGGCUCGCUCUCUCACACACACUUCCCUCCUUUUCUCCUCUCCUCUGCACUCUCUGCCUCUGACCCAGCUCUCUCAGCAGUCUAAAAAACGAUGAAGACAUUUUAUACCGCUUCCUCUUAGUUUUUCCAUCUCUAUUCAAACCUUAAAUAUGAAUCCGAAUUAUAAUGUUUCCGUCCUAAGACUGCAUUUCUUACUUAUCUCUCUUUUACUUAAAUAGGAGAUAAGGCAAGAAAAGCAAUUAUAAGAAGAGAAGCUACUGAAAUGAAACCAUUUUUCUUAACCUUUGAGUUCAGGCAAAAAUCACCCAAGUCCAAAUAGGCAAACAUGUCCCCUCAGGACUCUCAGAAGUGGAUUCUGUGUCUUCUUUAGGUAUGCUGCUGCUGCUGCUGCGCCGCUUCAGUCGUGUCCGACUCUGUGUGACCCCAUAGACGGCGGCCCACCAGGCUCCCCCAUCCCUGGGAUUCUUCAGGCAAGAACACUGGAAAAGCAUUGACAAUAACUUCACUCAUCUCUGCUGCUGCUGCUGCUAAGUCGCUUCAGUCGUGUCCGACUCUGUGCGACCCCAGAGACGGCAGCCCACCAGGCUCCCCCGUCCCUGGGAUUCUCCAGGCAAGAACACUGGAGUGGGUUGCCAUUUCCUUCUCCACUCAUCUCUAUCAACAUAAUUGAGAACUACCUGGUUUAGCUGCUGGAGGGGAAGAGACUGAGCUUUAGGAGUCUCCUGAGAUGCUUUUCAGUGUCUGUGGUCAGAAGAGGAAGCUGUGAUGACAGAGCAAAUCAAUGACAUCAGUGUCACCUGGGAAGGUGGUGUGACAAGGUCCUCUGCUGAUUACGCUUGAUGAGCUCCUGAUGGCUCCGUGCCUGCUGUUGCUAAUGUCUCGUCUGCAGCGCUGCCACUGUCUUGACCUUGCCCAUGGAAAGCAGCAACUCCAGCAUUGCCCCCAUCAUGUCUAUUGCUGUGGGAACCUCAGUGGAUCUGGAACCCAGGCUGUAUGGUCAGUUGUGAGGCUGGACAGGUACAGUGCUUGCAGGCCUGCUGGGUGCAGCCCAACAUGGGCUCAAACUGAAUGGACCCAUGGAGUCUCUGGCUCCUCCUGCCUCUGCCCAUUCUGGACAAAAUCCAAUACUACCUAGAGGUGGCCCAAAGAGAGACUGCCUGAAACUGUGCUGGGGGUCAUGCUUUCGGAGACAAACUUUGACCCAAAGAGGAACAGAAGACAGGAGUGAACCAGCAGAUCAAGUCUUUGCCCAUCCCCCCACCUGAAACAUGAUGCAUCUGAACACCCUGUCUUAAAACGUCCAGCAUGACUGAGCAGUGAGCAGCCAUCUGUGUCCUUAUGUGGAGCUGUGGCUAGCUCAAAAAUAUGUUUCCCCUCCUUCAUAGUCUCAACACCCCCUUCCCUUUUUAAUCACUUUUUGCCCCCCAGAAAUUAGAUCUCCCAGUAAAAUAAAAGACCUUAAGCUUUUCCCUAGGCUCUGGUUUCUAGAAAACCAGGCUAAGAUAAUUCUCUUAGACUUUCCUUUACUCACUUACCUGCAAUGCCUGUUAUAUCAUAAAUCAGGGUUCUCUGAAUGUAUCUGUUUCAAAAUUAUAUAUUUUGUUCUAUUGAUCUACUAUGUAGCUCUACUGAUACCACUGUUUUUUUUUUGGGGGGGGGUGGUUUGUGGUCAUCAGCUUUAUUUAUUUAAAAAAUUUUUUACAAUGCUGUGUAGGCUUCCGCUGCCCAGCAACGUGAAUCAGCCGCAACUGCACACUUGCCCCCUCCCUCCUGAGCCUCCCCCCACCACCCACCCCACCGUGCUAGGUCAUCAGAGUGCCAGACUGGGCUCCCUGUGUUACACAGCUAUCCACUCUACACAUGAUAGUGUACAUAUGUUGAUGCUGCUUUCUCCAUUCAUCUCACUUUGUCCCUCCCCCACUGUGUCCACAAGUCCAUUUUCUACAUCUGUGUCUCCAUUCUUUCCCUUCAAAUAGGUUCAGCAAUACCAUUUUCUAGGUUCCAUAUAUAUGCGCUAAUAUACAAUAUUUGCUUUUCUCUGUCUGACAUACUUCACUGUGUAUAACAAACAGGCUCUAGGUUCAUCCACCUCACUAGAACUGAUUCAAAUUCAUUCCUUUUUAUGGCUGAGUAAUAUUCCAUUGCAUAUAUG
ensembl:lncRNA